UUGUUUGUGAGAUCAUUCGCAAGGCAGUGGGCCUACCUAGACUGCAGCUCUGAAAUUUUAACAAGUAAUGACCGUUCUUUCUCAGUAUUAGAUGUUUCAACCUGCCAAACAAUAGAAAGGAUUCAGUGAUGACAAACAAUCUUCUUGAGGAACCGCUAUCAUUCAGUAAGGAUAGGCCUUAACAAUACAAGAAAUCAUACACCAUCGCUGCUUACCACUGUCCCACUUUGCA
rnacentral:lncRNA from 1 species